rnacentral:rRNA from 1 species
AACGUAGGUUCCGAGCGUUAUCCGGAUUUACUGGGCGUAAAGCGCGUUCAGGCUGUUUGGCAAGUCGGGCAUGAAAUCUCUCGGCUCAACCGGGAGAGGUUGUCCGAUACUGCUGGACUUGAGGGCAGUAGAGGGUGGUGGAAUUCCGGGUGUAGUGGUGAAAUGCGUAGAUAUCCGGAGGAACACCAGUGGCGAAAGCGGCCACCUGGACUGCACCUGACGCUGACACGCGAAAGCUAGGGGAGCGAACGGG